GGUGGAGGACACACCACCCUGAACACGCCCAGUCUCGUCUGAUCUCAGAAGCUCAGCAGGGUCGGGCCUGGUUAGUACUUGGAUGAGAUACCGCUUGGGAAUACCAGGUGCUGUAAGCU
ensembl:rRNA 5S_rRNA 5S ribosomal RNA